UAAAGCCACGGACCCGAGCAGCAGCGCGACGGAUCCACGCCGGCCGCCUGCUCCGCCUCCGCUCCCUCCCCUCGGGUGAACCCAUCGCCGCCGGAGGGCGAGGGGCAGUAAGAAGCGGACAAGAUGAAGACGACCAAGGGGGGGAAGGUGAUGAACCCAACCGACGCCUUCCGCAAGGACCAGCGCAAGAAGGAGCUCAAGAGGAACAAAAAAGAAAGGAAGAAGGUGCGGGAGGUUGGUAUUUUGAAAAAGGAUCCAGAGGCUAUACGGGAGCAGAUCGAGAAAUUGGAGAAGAUGAAGGCUGAUGGUGCUCUUGACAAGGCUAGGAAACAUAAGAAAAGGCAGCUUGAGGAUACAUAUAAUCUUAUUGUUAAGAAAAGAAAGGAAUAUGAACAGAAAAUGAAAGAGAAGGGCGAGCAACCGGUUAUGUUUAGUCAUCUUGGACCACCAAAGAGGCGGCCUGCAGCAGAUGAAGACGAUAGAGCUAACAAUCCUAAGCCUGAGGACUCUGUUUACUAUCAUCCAACCUUAAAUCCAUCUGGGGCACCACCACCUGGCAAACCUCCAAUGUACAAAUCAUCUAUAGGACCAAGGAUCCCACUGCCUUCCUCAUCCAGCGCUGGGGCCUCAUCUUCCAUGUCAGAGUCUGAAGCAGAUCCAUCCACCCUGCCACCCCCUCCACCGCCACCACCGUUGCCAGCCACUUCAGAACCCAUUGAUCCAUCUGCUAUUUCUUUACCUUUAGCCCCCCUCCCGCCCCCACCCCCGCCCCCACCUAAGCCUGUCAGUGACAUAACAGCACCAAGCUUACCUCCGCCACCUCCACCUCCCGGUCCACCUCCGAGAGAAUCUGUGUCAGGUCAUACAUUUCUUCCACCGCCUCCGCCUCCACCGCAAAGGCCUUUGAAUCCACCGCCAGGGGCUGGUGCAAAGGAGCUUACCAAUAAACAAGGUGGUGAAGAGGGUGCAAGCAUAACAGAUUCUGCUCAGAACCUUGAUUUGCAGCCCACAGCUGUCCUGCCUCCACCGCCCCCACCUCCUGGGUUGCCAUCAAAAUCAAAUGACAUGGAGGUUGCUGGCAAUUCCAAUGCUCCAUUCAAAGAAGAUGCUGCUGCAAGGGUCUUACCGCCGCCGCCACCAAUGUCAUCAAAUCUGCCUCCUUUACCUCCAAGGCCUCCAAUGCAACCUGACAUGCUAGCUCCAGGAGUUAUGAGAUUUCCGCCACCUCCACCACCACCAGAUUCAAGGCUGCCACUUAUGGCUCCUGGAGUUGCCAGACCCCCUCCACCUCCUCCAGGAUUACCCCUGGCUCAAAUGCCAAUGGCACCUUAUGGUGUACUUCCUGGUCCGCCACCAAUGUUUAGGCCUCCAUUUUUGCCAGGACCACCUGUUCAACCAGAUGAGUUUGCCGCUUUUGCACCAAGGCCUCAGUUACCUCAGCAACCAUCAUAUGUAAAGUCGGCUGCUCCGACUGUUGUGAAGAGACCAUUAGCACAACACACUCCUGAGCUAACGGCUAUGGUUCCUGCAUCAGUUCGGGUCAAGAGAGAAUCUGCUCUCCCUAAGCCAAAACCAAAGGCACAGCAAUCAUCAACACCUUCAGUGACGAAGUCUUCAGUGACCAUCAUAAAAACUGAGGCCCAGCCUUCUUCAUCAGCACCCAAGCCGCAAAGUAUCGAUGAUUCUUAUAUGGCAUUCUUGGAAGAUAUGAAGCAACUAGGUGCUCUUGAUGAGUAGCUCAACUAGAUUAGAUGUCUAGUUGCACUUAACAGCUGCAGUCAUGAACCUAAACGUGAGCCCCAUCUUUCUUGUGGCCAAUGAAGUCUCUUUCCUGCUAUUUCUUGUGGCUAAUGAAUAGUCUCUUUCCUGCUAAGGUUGUCAUGCAGCAUCACUGUCACCGAGUCAAAACAUUAGACCAUUUGACACUUACUGGUUGGCCGUUGAACGGUUGCGCUGGCAGAUAUAUUCAGAUAAUACCAGUCGUGGGGAACACUACUGGUAAGUCGUAGUUGUCGACUACCUGCAUCUGCGUUGAAAAGAUUGACUAAACAGCAUGAACGCCUGAUAUGCAGUCAGUUUUGUUCGAUCAUGCUUGUGGAAAACGAGCUACAGCUGUUGUGAAAAUAUAAUGUGCGCAAAUGCCAGAGCCAUUCUUGUUCCAUCUGGUGCUUGAUGCAAGCAAGUAAAACAAAAUGAUGUGGAUAUAUGUUCAAAAUUGAAUGUACCAAUGUUUAUGUUGA